rnacentral:rRNA from 1 species
GCCAGCCCGCUCAGAAACUUAAAUGAAUUGACGGGGGCCCGCACAAGCGGAGGAGCAUGUGGUUUAAUUCGAUGAUACGCGAAGAACCUUACCAGGUCUUGACAUCCCCCGCGAUGCUUUAGAGAUAAAGCGGAGGUAUUCGGGGAGACAGGUGGUGCAUGGUUGUCGUCAGCUCGUGUCGUGAGAUGUUGGGUUAAGUCCCGCAACGAGCGCAACCCCUAUUGCUAGUUACCAUCAUUAAGUUGGGGACUCUAGCGAGACUGCCAGUGAUAAACUGGAGGAAGGUGGGGAUGACGUCAAAUCAUCAUGCCCCUUAUGACCUGGGCUACAAACGUGAUACAAUGGCUGGAACAAAGGGAUGCGAAGCAGUGAUGUGGAGCGAAACCCAUAAAAACAGUCUCAGUUCGGAUUGAAGUCUGCAACUCGACUUCAUGAAGUCGGAAUCGCUAGUAAUCGCGGAUCAGAACGCCGCGGUGAAUACGUUCUCGGGGUUU